rnacentral:rRNA from 1 species
GACGAACGCUGGCGGCGUGCUUAACACAUGCAAGUCGAACGCUGAAGCUCAGCUUUUGUUGGGUGGAUGAGUGGCGAACGGGUGAGUAACACGUGAGUAACCUGCCUCCUUCUUUGGGAUAACGCCCGGAAACGGGUGCUAAUACUGGAUAUUCACUGGUCUUCGCAUGGGGGUUGGUGGAAAGGGGUUUUCUGGUGGGGGAUGGGCUCGCGGCCUAUCAGCUUGUUGGUGGGGUGAUGGCCUACCAAGGCUUUGACGGGUAGCCGGACUGAGAGGGUGACCGGUCACAUUGGGACUGAGAUACGGCCCAGACUACUACGGGGGGCAGCAGUGGGGACUAUUGCACAAUGGGCGCAAGCCUGAUGCAGCGACGCCGCGUGAGGGAUGGAGGCCUUCGGGUUGUGAACCUCUUUCGCUCAUGGUCAAGCCGCAACAAUGGUUGUGGUGAGGGUAGUGGGUAAAGAAGCGCCGGCUAACUACGUG